rnacentral:rRNA from 1 species
AUUGAACGCUGGCGGCAGGCCUAACACAUGCAAGUCGAGCGGAUGAGGGGAGCUUGCUCCCUGAUUUAGCGGCGGACGGGUGAGUAAUGCGUAGGAAGCUGCCCGAUAGAGGGGGAUACCAGUUGGAAACGACUGUUAAUACCGCAUAAUGUCUACGGACCAAAGUGUGGGACCUUCGGGCCACAUGCUAUCGGAUGCGCCUACGUGGGAUUAGCUAGUUGGUGAGGUAAUGGCUCACCAAGGCGACGAUCUCUAGCUGGUUUGAGAGGAUGAUCAGCCACACUGGAACUGAGACGCGGUCCAGACUCCUACGGGAGGCAGCAGUGGGGAAUAUUGGACAAUGGGCGCAAGCCUGAUCCAGCCAUGCCGCGUGUGUGAAGAAGGCCUUCGGGUUGUAAAGCACUUUCAGCGAGGAGGAAGGGUGGUGUGUUAAUAGCACAUCAUUUUGACGUUACUCGCAGAAGAAGCACCGGCUAACUCUGUGCCAGCCGCCGCCGCGGUAA